UCAUCCCACCUGAUCAUUCAUGGUCCAGCUCUUUCCAUGCAUAGGCCACUGCUUGCACUACCAAGCAAGUGUGGCGAAAUACUCGAGCCAUCCAUCCUUAUUGGAGAAGAACCAGUGCUGUGGACAUCACCACCAAUACAAUUGACAUCUCAGCUUCAAAAAACUCAGUGAGUGUUUUCUGGGAAGUUCCACCAAAAUACAGUUGGCACUGACCAUCACCGUGGCCUCCAGUCUUAGACCAGGCACCCAGAACCUGUUGUGCCUCACUGCUCACUGCUCGUCAAGUCCACAACGAUGUGGAUAUUUUGUCUGUUGGAAGAAACAACAGAGGAAAUCUGCUGCCUUUGAUCUCAAUGGAAGGAACUUUAUCAGAUGAUCCCAAUGAUGACAAAACAACUGAAAGGUCAGGAAGAUCUCGCAUACAGUUGACUAUGGAGGUGACUAACAAUCUCUGAGCAGCGCAGAUUUGGAUCACUAGCUUUCUCUGAAUUGGCCAACUUCUUGCAAAUAACCCUGUUUAAGAUGUCUGGACUUCAAGAUUCUAAAACAAUUGACCUUUGCUAUAACCUCUCAACAGAUGGUUCAGCUUAUUUUACAGGAACAACACCAACAAAAGUCCUAGACGGAUCCUGCUUUGUCUCACUCAGGAGGUUUAUGCUGGUCUUUUACUUGUUUAGGUUAGUUUGUUAUAUUCAUUCUUAUUGAACAAAAGGAGGGUUUGACAGUGUCAGCUCUGUAUUUAUCUGAGCUCUGUAUUCCUGGAAAACAUUGAUGGUUAAUAAAUCCCCCAUCUUUUGUGUUCAGUUUCUUACUGAAAAGAGCCACCACCCUUCUGCAUACCAUUUAUGGAAGACUCCUCAUCCAUUUUUUCUCGUGACUCCAAUAAGAGUUGUGUGUCAAGGUGUCUAUGGAAAACUGAUUUUUGGCAAAGAUGCCAGCACCAUUCAAAGGCAAAAGCAUAGUGCUUUCAACAAAUGAUUCUGGGACAACUGGAUACAGUCACACACAGGAGAAUGAAGUUGGAUCUUUACCUCACCACUAUAUAAAAAAUAACUCAAAGUGAAUCAAAAAUCCAAGUCUAUGAGCUAAAACUGUGAGAUUCUUAGAAGAAAACAUAGAGGUAAAUGUUCAUGACAUCAGAUGUGGCAGUGGAAUUUGAGAUAUGACUCCAAACACAAGCAACAAGACAAAAAAACAGAUAAAUUGAGCUUCAUUAAAAUUGAAAAAUUUGUGGGAUGCCUGAUGGCUCAGUUGG